AUUGAACGCUGGCGGCAGGCCUAACACAUGCAAGUCGAGCGGAUGAAGGGAGCUCGCUCCUGGAUUCAGCGGCGGACGGGUGAGUAAUUCCUAGGAAUCUGCCUGGUAGUGGGGGAUAACGUCCGGAAACGGGCGCUAAUACCGCAUACGUCCUGAGGGAGAAAGUGGGGGAUCUUCGGACCUCACGCUAUCAGAUGAGCCUAGGUCGGAUUAGCUAGUUGGUGGGGUAAAGGCCUACCAAGGCGACGAUCCGUAACUGGUCUGAGAGGAUGAUCAGUCACACUGGAACUGAGACACGGUCCAGACUCCUACGGGAGGCAGCAGUGGGGAAUAUUAGACAAUGGGCGAAAGCCUGAUCCAGCCAUGCCGCGUGUGUGAAGAAGGUCUUCGGAUUGUAAAGCACUUUAAGUUGGGAGGAAGGGCAGUAAGUUAAUACCUUGCUGUUUUGACGUUACCAACAGAAUAAGCACCGGCUAACUUCGUG
rnacentral:rRNA from 1 species